AGGACGAACGCUGGCGGCGUGCUUAACACAUGCAAGUCGAACGGUAAGGCCCUUCGGGGUACACGAGUGGCGAACGGGUGAGUAACACGUGGGUGAUCUGCCCUACACUUUGGGAUAAGCCUGGGAAACUGGGUCUAAUACCGAAUAUGACCAUGGCAUGCAUGUGCUGUGGUGGAAAGCUUUUGCGGUGUGGGAUGGGCCCGCGGCCUAUCAGCUUGUUGGUGGGGUGAUGGCCUACCAAGGCGACGACGGGUAGCCGGCCUGAGAGGGUGUCCGGCCACACUGGGACUGAGAUACGGCCCAGACUCCUACGGGAGGCAGCAGUGGGGAAUAUUGCACAAUGGGCGCAAGCCUGAUGCAGCGACGCCGCGUGGGGGAUGACGGCCUUCGGGUCGUAAACCGCUUUCAGCAGGGACGAAAUUGACGGUACCUGCAGAAGAAGCCCCGGCCAACUACGUGCCAGCAGCCGC
rnacentral:rRNA from 1 species